GAAGUACUCCCUCAGUUCGAAAUUACUUGUCGGGAAAAUGGAGAAAAAUUGAUGUAUCUAUACUAAAAUACGUCUAGAUACAUCCAUUUUAACGGUAAGUAAUUUUGGACGGAGGGGGUACUCU
rfam:Triticum aestivum genome assembly, contig: Triticum_aestivum_CS42_TGACv1_scaffold_433740_5DL